rnacentral:rRNA from 1 species
AGAGUUUGAUCCUGGCUCAGAAUCAACGCUGGCGGCGUGCCUAACACAUGCAAGUCGAACGCGAAAGUCCCGAAAGGGAUUAGUAGAGUGGCAAACGGGUGAGUAACGCGUGGGUGACCUGCCUUCGAGCGGGGGAUAACGUCCCGAAAGGGACGCUAAUACCGCAUAACAUCCUGUCUUUUAACAGGUGGAGAUCAAAGCUGGGGAUCGCAAGACCUAGCACUCGAAGAGGGGCCCGCGUCUGAUUAGCUAGUUGGUGAGGUAACGGCUCACCAAGGCGACGAUCAGUAUCCGGCCUGAGAGGGCGGACGGACACACUGGGACUGAGACACGGCCCAGACUCCUACGGGAGGCAGCAGUGGGGAAUUGUUCGCAAUGGGCGCAAGCCUGACGACGCAACGCCGCGUGGAGGAUGAAGACCUUCGGGUCGUAAACUCCUUUCGAUCGAGACGAAUGGCCUCCGGGUGAAUAAUCCGGAGGUUUGACGGUACCGAGAGAAGAAGCCCCGGCUAACUCCGUGCCAGCAGCCGCGGUAAUAC